UUGUUUUUUAAUUAAUAAUACUAAUAACAAAUAAUUAUGGUAAUUAUUAUUAUUAUAAUGCAUCAGUUCAUCUCUGUAGUUGGGAAAAUAGUAUUUGUUGUAACCCUGGUUUGAAGUGAAACAAAACCUUCACUGUAUUGCUUCCUCGCGUUUUGAAAUUUCAGAGUGGAAUGGCGUACGGACAUCACAAACCCACGCAACCAUGGAUCCAGGACGCACUACCUGUAUUAUUGGUUCUUCUGAUAGCAGUGCAUGUCCUCGCUAUGGUGUAUUGGAUUUAUAAAUUAGCCACCCAGAAACCGACGCAAAGGAGAAAGGCUCACUGAAGGUCAAGGUCCGUCAUUUGUGAACCCUAAUUUACCUCCUACAAAAAAACUUAACCGCUGUAGAAUGUCCUUAGUCUUCAUUUUACUGGUCUUGUUUGAUAAUGAUCGCAGAAUUUAUCAUUUCACUUAGUGCAAAAUGGAUUAGAUUCAUACGCAGCAUCUUAGUGUCGCUUCCACACUUGUUUAUAUUGUUGGGAUUUUAAUUUAUGGUCUCUUGUAGAGAGCAUGCUUUUAAUUCAGAUAAUUUAUUGGGAUCUUAUAAUCAAUUUUUUCAGCCGUUCCUGUGUGAUGUAUACCUCUGCAUUCUGAUUUCUCAGGAACAAAUAAAAUCUAGUGUUUUUUUACUCAGUAAUUACUAUCGAAGAGUAGUUUUUCUUUCCUGUAUAUGUUCUUUCUUGCACGGCCUCUUUACAAUUACCAGCACCUAUCUUUAUAAUUCCCUUCACCACUAGGACAGCACGAGCAUUUUGGGAGAAAUAAAAUGAUUAUCUGGUUCCAUAUUUAGUGCCUAAUACAUUUUUCUAAACUUGCGGGAAUGUGUAUUGUUUAAUGAUACAAAAUAUGUGUGAUGGAAUCUGAACUAUACGCAGGUUAUAGUACUACAGGCAAUUAUACUACUACUAUAUUUUUUUUUUAUCUAGAAUACUGCUACUCUAUUAGAUCAUAUGAACAACAAGUUUGAAAUAGAAUUUAAUUUUAUUUAUUAAACUUGCAAGUUUAGCUUAGUGUGACUCCAGUAUGUAUUUUGGGCGUCCAAAAUAAUUUUCUGAUAAAAGACGAAGAAGUUAUUGGAGAUACUAUUGAAAGUAUAUAGUCCUUCAAUGGUAUGUACCCUGAACUUAAUUAAUAUGUUUUUUGAGUGUUUCAAUUCAAGUCGUGUAGGAGGUUGGUCAACCCCUAACGUAAUAGUUUCUCUUGGAAUUUGGCUUCUCUAAAGGGAUGAUGUGCACACCUCUGAUUUCCUAGUUAACAUUCUAUUCUCUAGAUUCAUAGAAGAGUCAAAUCCCUUACAAGGAACUAAUAAACUAUGUAUGAAUUCGGUCGAGCUGCAACUGAGCUCAGGGUUUGUUAUGUUUAUGCUUUAAGUGAGUCUUGAAGUUUCUGAUUUCGAUAAAGAAGUGUUUCCCCAAAAUAACUAUGCCAUUACUUGCAUUUUAAAGAAAGUCGGAAGCAUGGGCAUCCGCAAUCUACAGUAAAGCGUUUUCAUUUUUCUAUACAGUCUAGGACAGCUUCUGCAACGCUGUUCUAAAAUGCAAACAAGGAAAAUGAAGCAGAAGAAACACGUAUUAUUGUCAUAUAUACACGGCAUGUCAAUGUAAGAUUCAGCUCACACCUGAGACAAAUAACUUUGAGGAGCUCUUGAGAGAUGACGUGGCCCAUGCCCUAUACGGACCCGAACAAUUUUAGUAAAACUCAAAAGCACACUCAAUCACCGGUCACACACCAAAAAAAUAUAAUCUUAGGAUGACAUGUGUGAAACAUUUAAUGUAAUUGAAACAAAAGUAUUUUAAAUCUUCAAAACACUCUAACCUGUUACUAAAUUUCAAUCAGAAAGAAGUUUAACCGAAUAUGCUCAAGCAUUGAUUGUCCAAUAUUCCUGUGAGUACCAUCAAAUUCUGGUCUGUAGUGUAUAUUCCCCUUUGCAACUACCAGAACUACAAUGUCCAUUGGCGAUAGAAUACGGUUAUUAUUUUUUAUGAUUAGAAUUGUUGGUAGGGAUUGAAGUCCUACAAGUUUAUUUUCCUUUCAAUUGCAUAUAUAAACUCGCCAUGAUUCCACCCAAACUUCCAAAGCCACUGCUAGAUUCAGUUGUCUCUCCUUAGAAUGUAUGUUCGAAUUUUCUGUGGAAUUGUUAGUAUUAUCUCGCCCAUAUGAUACGUUCUCAGAUGAUCCGAGAUUGAAACUAUCAGUAUUAUCUUACCCACAUGGAACUA